UACGAAGGGGGCUAGCGUUGCUCGGAAUCACUGGGCGUAAAGGGUGCGUAGGCGGGUCUUUAAGUCAGGGGUGAAAUCCUGGAGCUCAACUCCAGAACUGCCUUUGAUACUGAGGAUCUUGAGUUCGGGAGAGGUGAGUGGAACUGCGAGUGUAGAGGUGAAAUUCGUAGAUAUUCGCAAGAACGACCAGUGGCGAAGGCGGCUCACUGGCCCGAUACUGACGCUGAGGCACGAAAGCGUGGGGAGCAACAGG
rnacentral:rRNA from 1 species